rnacentral:tRNA from 1 species
GGGGAUAUGGCUCAGUAAUAGAGUACUUGCCUAGUAUGCAUGACAUUCUAGGUUUAAUUCCUAGUACCA